AAACCAGCACCUCAAGUGGUCAGGAUGAUUAUUGGGCCUAAAGCAUCCGUAGCCGGCUCUGUAAGUUUUCGGUUAAAUCUGUACGCUUAACGUACAGUCUGCUGGGAAUACUGCAGAGCUAGGGAGUGGGAGAGGUAGACGGUACUCGGGAGGAAGUGGUAAAAUGCUUUGAUCUAUCGAUGACCACCUGUGGCGAAGGCGGUCUACCAGAACACGUCCGACGGUGAGGGAUGCAAGCUGGGGGAGCAAACCGGAUUAGAAACACUAGUAGUCC
rnacentral:rRNA from 1 species